CUAAACCCUCACCAGAGUAACAAUUGGAGGGCAAGUCUGGUGCCAGCAGCCGCGGUAAUUCCAGCUCCAAUAGCGUAUAUUAAACUUGUUGCAGUUAAAAAGCUCGUAGUUGAAUUUCUGCGUUAUCGAGUUAUUGACUCUUGUCUUUAAUCGAUUUCGCUUUUGGGAUUUAUCCCUUUUUACUUUGAGAAAAUUAGAGUGUUUCAAGCAGACUUUUGUCUUGAAUACUUCAGCAUGGAAUAAUAGAGUAGGACUUUGGUUCUAUUUUGUUGGUUUUUGAACCUUAGUAAUGGUUAAUAGGAACGGUUGGGGGCAUUCGUAUUUAACUGUCAGAGGUGAAAUUCUUAGAUUUGUUAAAGACGAACUACUGCGAAAGCAUUUGCCAAGGACGUUUCCAUUAAUCAAGAACGAAAGUUAGGGGAUCGAAGACGAUCAGAUACCGUCGUAGUC
rnacentral:rRNA from 1 species